UUCUUCUUUGAACUUGAGAAGUUAUCUAUAAAACCUCCUUCCAGAGAGCUAUUUAAUACGUCACUCCUGCCUCAAAUAGAAUGCAAAAGAUAUCCUCUUAUAAAGCUUAACCUUUACUACCCCCAGGCUAAUUUUACAUAUACAAAAUUGUCACAAAAAUAAUUUAAAGAGACUGACCCAAUAAUCUUUGCAGCCUAAUUUUACAGCUUUUAAUGAUAAUUUUUAACCAAUGUUUGAGAUCGUUCUCAUUUGAAUCAAGGCUAAUAUUUAUUAAAAAUAAAGAUCAUAUGUCCUUCUUUCAUCCCCUUAAAAUAGAGGUGAAUUCCUUGUAAGGAGUAGAAAUCGGGUGGAAAAUGAGUAAAAAAAUCAGCCUCUACACCAUUUUUUCAGUUGCCCAACCAGCCUUGUUUCCUCUUCAACCUCCUCCUCACCCAUGACCAGCUCCUCCACCUCGUGACCCAGCCUCCUCUCAAUAGAAACCCCAACAGCAGCCACACUUCGUCUCCUUCAACCUCACGACAAAAACCAGCUUCUCCUUCCAGAAGGCUCCAGCAACGGCAACAUCCAGCCAUCGUCGCCUCCACACACCAGCAGCGUCUCUCAGCUUCUCUUGAAAACAUAGGUGGAAGCUUCUCUUCUCAGCCUCAGCUCCCCCACUGUGACCAGGCCAGCAGCGACACCAGCCAAGGCAGACCAGUGCACAGCCCAUUUCCUCCUUGCAGCAGCGCUUCUCCUCCCAUGGUAGUUUUUCAGCCAACGCCAGCUACCUCUUCAAACCAGCACCGUGAGCAGCCACAGACGACAGCUCCAGUCAGCGUCGCUCCCUAAUCUUCCUUCCUCAGUAACCUGCGAUUUGUUUUUCUUUUCUUUUGAUGAGGCAUGCAGGACGUUAAUUCACGUCCUGCUGCCUCCCUUUGAUAGCAAAGAAAGGUGGGACCCUCAACCCAACCCAUCCCAUCCCACAUGGAUGGGCUGGAUCCAGCUCAUCUUUAAAACAAGAAAAAAAAAAUUGUUGGGUCUUCUGAGGUGAGCUUGAUCCACAGGCCCAGCUAGCUCAGCCCUUAAAGUAAGAAUAUGUUUUCCAAACACACCCUAAUAUCUUUUUCUUAAUUUUUAAUUUGUUUUUAUUUUAAUAUUUAGUCAAAUAAGCCUAAUAAUAAGCUAAAAAAUCUAAAACAAUUACAAUGACCAUUUUAAAAUUA
rnacentral:lncRNA from 1 species